UACGUAGGGUGCAAGCGUUGUCCGGAAUUAUUGGGCGUAAAGAGCGUGUAGGCGGCCAGGUAGGUCUGCUGUGAAAACUCGAGGCUCAACCUCGAGACGUCGGCGGAAACCAUCUGGCUAGAGUCCGGAAGAGGAGAGUGGAAUUCCUGGUGUAGCGGUGAAAUGCGCAGAUAUCAGGAAGAACACCCGUGGCGAAGGCGGCUCUCUGGGACGGGACUGACGCUGAGACGCGAAAGCGUGGGGAGCGAACAGG
rnacentral:rRNA from 1 species